GAUGAACGCUGGCGGCGUGCCUAAUACAUGCAAGUCGAGCGAACAGACGAGGAGCUUGCUCCUCUGACGUUAGCGGCGGACGGGUGAGUAACACGUGGAUAACCUACCUAUAAGACUGGGAUAAAUUCGGGAAACCGGAGCUAAUACCGGAUAAUAUAUUGAACCGCAUGGUUCAAUAGUGAAAGACGGUUUUGCUGUCACUUAUAGAUGGAUCCGCGCCGCAUUAGCUAGUUGGUAAGGUAACGGCUUACCAAGGCAACGAUGCGUAGCCGACCUGAGAGGGUGAUCGGCCACACUGGAACUGAGACACGGUCCAGACUCCUACGGGAGGCAGCAGUAGGGAAUCUUCCGCAAUGGGCGAAAGCCUGACGGAGCAACGCCGCGUAAGUGAUGAAGGUCUUCGGAUCGUAAAACUCUGUUAUUAGGGAAGAACAAAUGUGUAAGUAACUAUGCACGUCUUGACGGUACCUAAUCAGAAAGCCACGGCUAACUACGUG
rnacentral:rRNA from 1 species